rnacentral:misc_RNA from 1 species
UGAGUAUAUAUAAUACAGACACACAAACAGACACCGAUAGUAAUAAAAUAGUAAAAAGCAGCCUGUUGAAAGGCGACAAGUAACAGCUAAGGGCAAAGAGAAUAAUAACGAUAUCGAUAAGAGUAUAUAAUAAUUAAAAAGUAAUAAACGAUAGUUGUUAAGAGGAAAAGCGAGAAGAAGAUCGUACAACAGAGUGUGAGUGCUUAAAUAAUUCUAGAACGCGCUACGGUUAGAGUACUUCUACUUUUCACGGUUAAUCUACUCAGCAAUUGCGGAGCCUGUUCUACAUAUACGAUCAAGAUACCUCAAGACAGCAACGGGCGACGAUCCGACUCGACUAGCAUGCACCUGGGCCCGCGGUUCGAGGCGCACUUCAAGAUGCGGUAGAGGAAGUCCCUCGACGAGAGUCCAAAAAGCAAUCGGUGCAACCAAUUCGAGUCUCGUCCUUUGUAACCAGAGCAUAAUCGCGUGCAUAAUAGCAGUUAGAUUAAGAGGCUUGGACCCAAGACACGCUCAUACCCUACCAAACGUAGGACAAACUUGGGUCUUACUCUUGCGAUCCCCAUACGAAUCCAAAUUCACAGAGCACCCAUCGGCAUCCAGGUGUUAGAACCCAAUUAAUCGAGCCUGGGAGCCUCUGACGACGAAAACCACUGCCUUUCAAGCCGCCAGGUUAUCGUGAACCCCUUAAACAAGCCAGCCAAACCUCUUCAAACCUCUUCAAACAUCGUCAAAACUCGACAAACCACCUCGAAUUUCAUCAAAACCAUCAGAAAAUUGGGAGAAAAGGUUUACGAAAGCGACUAGAAUCUCCCUAGGGGACUUUAAGAGGCAAGUGAACAGAGGUGAGUAGAGGACCCGUCACGGUGGCCAGCUUAGUGAGCGGCAACGUAGCGGUGCGUUACGAUGAGGCGUCGGGAGUGGUUGGCACGGGGGGUGUCGUGUUGGCAGCCACUUCCAGGUUAGCCACUGCGGAUCCAGCGACGUCCAGC